rnacentral:tRNA from 1 species
AGCUCUGAGGUGUAAGCACGUAUGAUUGCAAAUCAUAAGUAGCAGGUUUGCGUCUGCCGGGGCUU